AGGAUUCGCUUUUAAGAGUGUCGAGAUUCUAGCAUUAGCUUAUUAGGGUUUUUUUUAAUAAGAUUGAGAUGUGAGUAUUUUAGAAGUUGAUGAUAGAACUAGUGGGUGAAUUUUUUUUUUUAAUAGAAUGAGUUUUUGAUAGAAAUGCUGAUUAAAUUGAGGAGAUGAUGUAGUUUGUGUUUCCGAUAAAGGAAGCUUAAUUAUUUUUGAGACGAUUUAUAGUGUUAAGUUAAGAGGAUACCUGGCUAGAUAUAGAGCCGAGGUGAGUGAGUGAGACUUACUAUAGAGAUGAGUCGAAUUCAUGAGACAAUUAAAUUGUCGUUAGAUUUUGACUGAUUGAGAGGUCAUGUUUAAGUGAGAUUAAUUGAUUUUUUUUUAUGUGACCCACGUGAUGAUAACAGUUGAGAUCGAUUGAUUUAUAAUUUUCCUUGGACGUGUAACACAAAGAUGAUUUUUUUUAAAUGGUGAAUUAUGAUCUUGCUAUCUAUAUUAUAAUUUUUCCUAAUGGAAUUUCUAAGAAUUUAUUUUAAUGAGCUAGAUGUGAUGUGAAUUAGGUGUAUUCUAAUUAUGAUUAAUUAUUUGAUCACACUAUUAGAUGAUAUUGAUUUAUGGUUUUUAAUUAGCAAGUGAUUUUCUCUAACUUAGCUUUUCCUACAAGCUUGAUCUCAUUAAUUAGUGUAGUAUUGAGCAAGCCACAUGUGAGAGCUUUAAUUGUGCAUUAAUUAAUUGGAUGACUUAGUGGGCAAGUUGCAAGUGUGAGUAUUGAAGAAGCUACACUAGUAAAUUAGGGAGCAAGCUUAUGCUCUAAACAAAACUCAUUUUCUCUCUCUCUCUCUCCCCUCAUUCACACGCCCCUCACCCCUCUCUCAUCUCUCUCUCUUUCUUCCUUAAUCCUCCAUUGUUAACCAUUCUCAAAGCUUCAAAAAUCAUAUCUCCACCAUAGAUCUUCACUAAAUCAAAUCAAAACUUCAUUUCCUUUGAAUCAAGAGCAAGAUUGAUGGAGUUUCAAGCUUGAAGUUAGAGAGAAGAAUUUUUAUUUCUUUCAAAAUCCUUGAGUAAGUGAUGAAUCCUUUUAGAUCUAGACUUAAAUGUGUUGUAUAUGUGUAUAUAUGGAUAGAUCAAGCAAGAAAACACCCAUAUCCCUUCUUUGUGAUUUUCGAAAAUUUGGGUCUUUUACCCUUCAAAAAUUUUUCUUUCCUUUUCUUAAAUUGAUGUUAUUUAAAUACUAUUGGGUUCCUAAUUAGUCUAUUUCCAUGUGUAGAUAAUUGAAUUAAAAAGAGAUAUGAGAUUUGAAAUAGUUUAGUUUGUGUAAAUUUGGGAAGUUUUGUAUUUGAGGCUUGAUUGAUGAAUUGAUGGAUGAUAUAUGCUAUUGAGAGUGUUUAUAUGAGAUUUGAUGGAUUGGAUUGAUGGUUGAAAUUGAUUAGUAAUUUUUGAUAUGAGUUAGUUUGAUGUAAUUUGGGUAAAAUUGAUUCUAUGGUUUAAUUUAGGGGUUAUUGCCCCUAAAUACACAAACUAUGCUAAUUUGUAGUUUUAAGGUUGGCUUUAGAUUUUGCCUGUUUAUACAUUUUCAAAAAGUUUAGUUUGUUAAAAAUUGGGACUUUGUGAUCUAUGUGUUAAUUGAUUAAAUUGGCUAAGUUUAAUUGUUAUUAAGCAUGAUAGAAAUGAUAAUUAGGGAUCAAUUUGGUUAAUUGUCAAGAAUGCCUAAAAUUGGUUAAGUUUAGUUUGCUAGUAAUUGGGAACUUUUGAGUAAUGAAAUAAAUACUUGAAUUGAUGAUGUUUAUAUGAUAGUUAGACUACUAGCAAGGAGAAAGCAUGAUUAAAUUGGUUAAUGAUGUUGAUUUGUGAAAAUUUUCCGAGUUUAGUUUGCGUGCAUACAUGAGAUCCUGUAUAUAAGAUGAGUUAUGAGCCAAGCAUGUCUAUAUGUGGCUUUUUGAUGAUUAUUUGAGCUUAUAUAUGCAAUAUGAGACGAAACGGACCAACCCCUAAUGACCUAUGUGUUGGCCGAAUGUAGGGAGAAAAAGGGGAAGUCGAUGUUUGAAUUUUCUUGAGUUAUAUGAUUAUGUAUUUAUGUUAUUGUGUAUUAUAUGAGCUUAAUUUGAAUUUUUGAGAAUUUUGCAUCGAAGAAAUCCAAAGUCUAGGUAUAAUUGCUUGUAUGUUCAAGUUUGGAGUCAUUUUAUGACCUUUUAUACCUACUGUUUCGUUGGGUUCUUGUUACCUAAAGACCUUGAAAAUUUUAUGGUAAGAUUAAAUAAGAGUCAGGAGCAUACCGGUAAAAUUUCAAGUCAAUUGGACUUUGUUUACUAUUUUUAUAAAAUAGAAAACUAAAACUGCUACCUUCUGCCGAAAUGUUCGGUGAGUAUCCAAUAGAGUCACCUCUUCCAGUGUCCUUCCCUAACUUUUUGGAGCCUAAAUUUUUAUUUUUAAGACAUGAGUGUCUUAUCUAAGUACCCACCAAAUUUCAAGCCUUUUCGGCAACGUUUACUAUUUUUCAAAAAUCAAAGUUUUCAAUUGCUCAAAACUGCCGAAUAUGGUAGACUGUAGGAAAACAGUCAUAUCUCCUAAACUACUUGGAGUUUUUCAUCCUACUUUUUUUUGAAUGAAACUAGACUCAAAGAGGUUUUAAAUGGUAUAGGUCAUGACUCCAGUGGAGCUCUGUACCGAAUCUGGUGAAGUCUUUAAAUCGAGUCAGUGCAGAAUGAUGUUUGUUUGUGACAUGUCUAUGUGUGAAUUUAUAUGUUUAUGUGAUUAUGCUUGUUUAUGUGCUUGAUUGCUAUGGGUUUAAUUCGAGUUGAGUGUUAAGUCGAGAGUAGGACUUGUGAAUCCUUAGGAGUUAAGUAUACCUAGGGAUUGAGAUUUAUUUGGGUAAAUAGAAGAUGAGUGAUAAGUUAAAGUUUGAGACGAGAUUGGAUUUUAGUAAAUGAGUUUCUAACUGAGGUUUAUCUUAUCUCAUGAACCACUCCGACAUUGUGACAUCUGAAGAUACGAGCAGAGGACGGAGGUAAGAUCGUCCAAGUACUACGAGAGUAAGCUAAGUUUGUCAGGUGGGCAUUAUUUUGAUAUACCUAUUAUACGAGCUUUCUUAAAUGAUAUGAUAUUUAUGAUUAUGAAUUGAGUUAAUGUUAUGCUUGAAACUAAUUGACUUGCCGAGUUUUGUUAAUAAUGACUUGUGUGUUACCCUCUACUGUUGAGACGAAUUCGGUCCUGCCACAAGCGGGAUUUUGUGCACAGAGGUGACUGUGAGCCGUCUAUCGGGUCGGCCGGUCACGGUACUUGAGAGGGAGGCCUACUUCUCAGUACCUUUAAUGAUGAGUAGUGGAUGUGGUACAUACAUAAUGAAUGUUUAAACUGCGCAGUUACUUUAUUAUGAUGUUAUGAUUUGCAAAAUUGCAUGCACAUGUUCUUCUCUAACUAAAACCCUUGUGCGUUGCUUAAUGUGGCAAGUUCAAUUUAUAGCUCUAAGAGCAAGCUUUCUUUUGUUUUUCGGCAUAUGUACACUGAGUACUUUGUACUCAGCCCUGCAUGUAUUUCUAAAUGUGCAGGAUAAGCGAGCAGGAGGAAGAUCGGUCUGGUGCUGGCGGGGACUUAUUUUGGAUGACAUUGUUCCUUUUACCGUAUUUAUAUUACAUACGGUAGCUUUUUGAUGUCGAUGUUUAUAUUUUGGACUUAGUCAAGAAGUAUACUCUCGGCUAUAUGUCUUCAUACAUAUAGUCUGUUCACGUUUUGCUGCGAGACUCUGUAAAUUAUGAACCUUUGUGAAUUUUUAACUAUGUCCGCUUUGUAAACUUUGUCGAGAAUCCCUGUACUUUUGAACUUAUGAAGCCGAUAAUAUUUGUGUCUUUGAGAUGAUGUAAUUGUUAUUCACUUUUGCUUGUGUUGUUGUGAGCUUCCGCUUGUUGUUUGAUCUAGUUUUUCCUUCUUUACUUCAUUAUUUUAUUUAGUCGUAUUGAUACUCGGUCUACGCUAUCACUGGCUAGACGUCGGGCUGCGACACAGAUGGCUCAAAUAGUCACUGCUAUUAGCAAUCUAGAUCAGUCGCGCCAAUUCCCAAGCAAUACCGUGGUGAAUCCAAAAGAGCAGUGUAUGACCAAUGAGCUUGAAUGUGAUACAUCAUAUGAAGAGCCUCAAGCGAUAGAAGAAGAGCAAGAAGUUCGGAAAGUUGAGAUAAGCUUGAAGGAUGAAAAUUUUAAAAGUGUUGAAGAGCGCAAUGUCCUAAAUGUAGUCGACACUUGCAUCGACCAAGGGAAAUCAUUGAAGGCUUGUCUCUUUAGCUUUUAUCUAACUCCAUAUUUUGAUUUUAAUUUUGAUUCAUUUGAUGAACACUUUUUGGAGUGUGGUAGUACUUUUGAUUGUUCACAGGAUGGCCAUAGUUUUCAAGAAAUUUUGAAGGUUGGAAAACCACCUUAUCAUUGGUUCGCAACAGAUGAUGUACUCAAAUUUGAUGAAAAGUGGCCACCACCUACACCUGCUGGAUCGUCGAGCUAACGACGUUAAUAAUAACGCUUAUUGGGAGGCAACCCAAUCUUGGUUAGUUCGUUUCUUUUUGUUUGCUUGUUUGUUUUUGUACCCCACAAUUCCUUUUCAAACUUAUUCUCCUUGGUGGUGAAUAAGUUUGGGGGGAUGUGUCUUUGUGGGUGCACUUUUUGUUUUGGUUGUUUUUGUUUUGUCGUUGAGUUUGUUUUAGUCUUGCUUUGGUAGUUUCUCUGUGAUGUUACCUUGAUGAUGAUGUGAGUAGUGUAGAGAUUGGUUGGAUAACUGGCUCAUGAUGAUUUUUGUUUAAAACUUAUGGAAUUGCAUGCGUUUGUGUUGAUAUUGUUGUGAUUGAGCAUGAGUGAUGAAUGAUAAGCGUGGUCUCUAUGUGUUUGCAAUCAAUGAAAUAAGCUGUGAGGAUUUGAGCCUUGACUGUCAUUAUUUUACAGUCUUAUUUCUUAUUAUUGAGUGAUUGUUCAAGCAUGCAUGUUUCUCACUAGAACUUGUCUUGGUUUCUCCCUCGAGGUCACAUAGUGUGCUUAAUAACUUUGAGAUGAUAGAAGGCCAUCUUUGCUAGCCUAUUUAUCCCUUAUUUGUCCUAUAUCUUUAUAUGAUCCUAGUUCACCCCCUUUGAGCCUUAUUUUUCCUUAUUCUUUGAUUUAGCUAUGGGUGGGAGCUUGGAGAUUAUUUGAUAGGAGAUAAUUGGGUUGUGGAGAUGAAUGAUCAUGAGUUAUGUUUUGUGGUUUUAAAUUGAAAAUCCUAGUACCCUACAAGUUGUUGAAAAAAAAAAAAAAAAGAAUGGUGGAGAAAAGAAAAGAAAAUAAAAGAAAAAAAGAGAAAAGAAUUGAAAAAAAUGGGUAAAUAGGAUGCUUUAGAGAGACAUAAUGUCAUGAGAAAUAAUUGUUGAGUUGUGAUGGUUCUUGCCUUGAAAAAAUUUGGUUUUGUGAGAGGUGGAGGAUAGAAUUUAGUAAGAAUGCUAUGAGGUUGGUGAUUGAGCUACAUUGAGCCGUAUCUUUUAGUCACUUGGCCAAAUACAUCCUACCCUACCAAAGAGCCUACAUUACAACCCUCAAUAAAGACCUUUUUGAUCUUGGUUAUAGGAGCACACAUUUAGUGGUGGAGAGGUGAGACGAUUGACAAGCUUAUGGAUGAGUACUUGUUUAGCUUGAACUGAGCGUAUACACGUCCUUUUUGAUUGAUACACUUGAGAGUUGAGAGUUCUUAUUUUCUUUAUCCUUUUGGUGAGGAUUGCAAUUCAUUGAGACCAUAAUUUGAAUUUGUCAUGAGUGUGAUAUCUUGAUGAUUGGAGAUACAAAUGCAUGUUGGUAAUUUUGUUGACAAAUCUGAAGCCACAAUGUUAUCCACUUUUCUCUACGCUCUUGUUGAUUCAUUCUUAGUUCAUCUUGAUUUUGUCCGAGGACGGACAAUAGUUCAAGUUUGGGGGUUUGAUAAACAUGCAUUUUUACCUCUUGGUGUGUCAUUUUUUGAUGUUUAGUUAUGAGGAUUUUUGCGUGUUUGUUUGAUAUAUUUGAGCUUAUAUUGGUUUAUGGUCAAGAACUUGUCACUUGCUUGUGUUUGAACGUAUUUUUCAGAAAUAAAGAAGCAGAAUUUGGAAGAUUUGGCUGAAAUACAAGUUGUAGUUCGUCUCGAUAGGAGUUCGUGAGCGCAAACGGUUCAUAAAUCGGAGUUCGGACGAGGGAGAACGAGCCAAAACAAAAUCACUGCGCAAGGCCGCGCGAGGUCGCGCGGUCCAGUCGCGCGGCCGCGCACGAAGACAGAACUGCUGGACAGCGCGCGCUGGCGCGCGCGCGCGACCCGGCCGCGCGAGACGCCGUUUUUCCGCCCAAAAUUCGUUUUUUUAGUGAUUUUGGGUAUUUUUGAGAGCUACAAGACCUAGGGCAUAUAAAUACUCCACAAGAACUUAUUCUCUGCACAUUUUAUCACUUUGUAUCAUAUUUUACUUUUCCUGAGAGCUGAGAGAGACGGAGAACAGAGCAAGAGCAAGACUGAAGAUUCUCCAUUUUUACUACGGUUUUUCUUGUUGGAUGUUUAUUUGUUUUAUUGAGAAUUGAUUUCUAGUCAUAUGUCUAUGUGUGGCUAGAAUCCUUUUUCCCAGGGUUUAGGAAGUAGACAUGUUUUGAAUUUCUAAUUGUUUGAUUCAAUUAAUUGAGAUUGUUAUUUCUUUUUAUGUUCUUGUUAUAAUUGUUUGCUUUAUUGAUUGGCCACCAAUUUAGCAUAAUCAUAGGUUUUAAUUUGAUAUCGGGAGAUGAUAAUUAUUACCUAAACUAAGAACAUAGAACACAUUUAUUUUAAUUCUAAAGAGAAUUGAUAACUGUGAGGGCGUUAAUCCUAGGAACUUUUAGGAAUUACAUGUUAGAAGUGCGAUCCAGGGAUGGUAGCCUUGCAUGUAAUCAACGGUUUGUAUGCCACGGGAGUGGGUAUGAACUAACUUUGCGAUUGCCUUAGGAAUCAUCUUAUUAAUUGAAUUGAACAUGUUAGUUAGGAGAAUACUGUUGAAAACCUUUGCCUUGGAGAAAUUUUCUCUUAUCUGUUUCUCUGUUUCGCAGCUUGAUUUAUUUCUUUCCUGCUGUUUAUUUAUUUUGUCUUUACAACAAAAAAAAACUCUUGAUUUCGUUUGUCCAGAUAGAGUAGAAUAAUUUAGGAUAGGAAUUGGUAAAUUCAGUCUCUGUGGAAUACGACCUUGCUUGCUACUGUACACAAUUGCACCCGUACACUUGCGGCGUGUCAAAUAAAAUAGCGAACAAGUUUUUGGCGCCGUUGCCGGGGACUGAUUUUUAUCAGUACUAAUCUGUAGAUUGUUUGAGACUAAUCUGGAUUUUUUUUGUGUUAUUUUUAUUUAUGUUCUUUAUUUUUCUUUUGGUUCUUAUUUUUGGUUCUGGAGUUUUUCCAGGUAGUGCAUGAGCAGCUAUGGAGAUUUUUGAUAGCAUGGGCACUACAUGUUAUCAAUGGCCAGCCGAGAGGGUAUAUAAUUUGGAGAAUGUUGCUGCCACCACAAAUUCUGAUUCAGUUACUUUGUUAGCCACUCAAAUCGCUGCAUUGUCUUCCAAGAUAAAUGCUUUGAGUAUUACUAAGAUGGAGUCAGCUGUGAAAAAUAUCCGAUGAUGAUGGAAGAGGCAAAUUUUGUCAGCAAUUGGAAUUUUAGGAAUUUUGAGCAGGGUGGAUUUCAAAGAGUACAACAGGGAAACAAUCAGAGUUGGCAAUAGUUCUAUCAUGGAGGGUGCCCGAAUAACGCGCUUCAGGCUCCACCAGGCUUCUCUGUCACCAAUGGAGUCAUCAAUGAGGAGAAGAAGCCUAAUUUGGAAGAGCUGCUGAUGAAAUUUAUCUCCAAGUCAGAUGAGAGGAUGGAGAAGCUUGAGUCUACCACUGCUGCUUUAGGGACUCAGAUGAAGGUGUUUGAGACUCAGAUUGUAACACCCCGCAGUUUUCCAUACUAUUUAUUUUGAGGAUUCGCUUUUAAGAGUGUCGAGAUUCUAGCAUUAGCUUAUUAGGGAUGUAAUUUCUUUUUAUAAGAUUGAGAUGUGAGUAUUUUAGAAGUUGAUGAUAGAACUAGUGGGUGAAUUUUGUUUUAUAGAAUGAGUUUUUGAUAGAAAUGCUGAUUAAAUUGAGGAGAUGAUGUAGUUUAUGCUUCCGAUAAAGAAAGCUUAAUUAUUAUUGAGACGAUUUACAAUGUUAAGUUAAGAGGAUACCUGGCUAGAUAUAGAGCCGAGGUGAGUGAGUGAGACUUACUAUAGAGAUGAGUCGAAUUCAUGAGACAGUUAAAUUUUUGUUAGAUUUUGACUGAUUGAGAGGUCAUGUUUGAGUGAGAAAAAUUGAUAUUUUUUUUAUGUGACCUACGUGAUGACAUAUUUGAGAUUGUUUGAUUUAUAAUUUUUCUUGGAUGUUGUAACAUAGAGAUAAUUUUUUU
rnacentral:lncRNA from 1 species